GACGAACGCUGGCGGCGUGCUUAACACAUGCAAGUCGAACGAAGUGGCGAACGGGUGAGUAACGCGUAAUCAACCUGCCCUUCAGAGGGGGACAACAGUUGGAAACGACUGCUAACACCGCAUACUGAAGGAGGGGAUUGCGUCUGAUUAGCUAGUUGGAGGGGUAACGGCCCACCAAGGCGAUGCUCAGUAGCCGGUCUGAGGGGGUGGACGGCCAAAUUGGGACCGAGACAAGGCCCAGACUCCUACUGGAGGCAGCAGUGGGGGAUCUUCCGCAAUGGACGAAAGUCUGACGGAGCAACGGCGCCUGAGGGAUGACGGCCUUCGGGUUGUAAAGCUCUUGUAAUCGGGACGCGGUACCGGAAUAGAAAGCCACGGCUAACUACGUGCCAGCAGCCGCGGUAAUUC
rnacentral:rRNA from 1 species